rfam:Ricinus communis cultivar Hale ctg_1100012348871, whole genome shotgun sequence.
UGGGAGGUGAUGAUUAUUUCCCCAAAUGAUCGAAGCUGAAUACACCGAGCGAUUUUUCUCUCA